AUUGAACGCUGGCGGCAUGCUUUACACAUGCAAGUCGAACGGCAGCGGGGGCUUCGGCCUGCCGGCGAGUGGCGAACGGGUGAGUAAUGCAUCGGAACGUGCCCAUGUCGUGGGGGAUAACGUAUCGAAAGGUACGCUAAUACCGCAUACGCCCUGAGGGGGAAAGCGGGGGAUUCUUCGGAACCUCGCGCGAUUGGAGCGGCCGGUGUCGGAUUAGCUAGUAGGUGAGGUAAAGGCUCACCUAGGCGACGAUCCGUAGCGGGUCUGAGAGGAUGAUCCGCCACACUGGGACUGGGACACGGCCCCGACUCCUACGGGAGGCAGCAGUGGGGAAUUUUGGACAAUGGGCGCAAGCCUGAUCCAGCCAUGCCGCGUGAGUGAAGAAGGCCUUCGGGCUGUAAAGCUCUUUCGGCCGGGAAGAAAUCGUGUUCUCUAACAUAGGACAUGGAUGACGGUACCGGACUAAGAAGCACCGGCUAACUACGUGCCAGCCGCCGCAGUAACAC
rnacentral:rRNA from 1 species